AGUGAACGCUGGCGGCGUGCUUAACACAUGCAAGUCGAACGAGAACGGAAUGUAGCUUGCUAUAUUUGUCAGCUAAGUGGCGCACGGGUGAGUAAUGUAUAGAUAACCUGCCCUUAAGAAAGGAAUAACAGUUGGAAACGACUGCUAAUGCCCUAUAUGCCUUUAAUACAUAAGUAUGCAAGGGAAACGCUUUAGUGCUUAAGGAUGGGUCUGUAUGGUAUCAGCUUGUUGGUGAGGUAAUGGCUCACCAAGGCUAUGACGCCUAACUGGUUUGAGAGGAUGAUCAGUCACACUGGAACUGAGACACGGUCCAGACUCCUACGGGAGGCAGCAGUGGGGAAUAUUGCACAAUGGACGAAAGUCUGAUGCAGCAACGUCGCGUGGAGGAUGACACAUUUCGGUGCGUAAACCCCUUUUAUAUAGGAAGAUAAUGACGGUACUAUAUGAAUAAGCACCGGCUAACUCCGUGCCAGCAGCCGCAGUAA
rnacentral:rRNA from 1 species